rnacentral:rRNA from 1 species
AUUGAACGCUGGCGGCAUGCCUUACACAUGCAAGUCCGAACGGCAGCGGACCUUCGGGUGCCGGCGAGUGGCGAACGGGUGAGUAAUAUAUCGGAACGUACCUUUCAGUGGGGGAUAACGUAGCGAAAGUUACGCUAAUACCGCAUAUUCUGUGAGCAGGAAAGCAGGGGAUCGCAAGACCUUGCGCUGAUUGAGCGGCCGAUAUCAGAUUAGCUAGUUGGUGAGGUAAAGGCUCACCAAGGCGACGAUCUGUAGCGGGUCUGAGAGGAUGAUCCGCCACACUGGAACUGAGACACGGUCCAGACUCCUACGGGAGGCAGCAGUGGGGAAUUUUGGACAAUGGGCGCAAGCCUGAUCCAGCCAUGCCGCGUGAGUGAAGAAGGCCUCGGUGUAAG